rnacentral:rRNA from 1 species
CAGUCGCCGCGGUAAUACGUAGGGUCCGAGCGUUGUCCGGAAUUAUUGGGCGUAAAGGGCUCGUAGGCGGUUUGUUGCGUCGGGAGUGAAAACACCAGGCUUAACUUGAUGCUUGCUUUCGAUACGGGCAGACUUGAGGCAUGCAGGGGAGAACGGAAUUCCUGGUGUAGCGGUGAAAUGCGCAGAUAUCAGGAGGAACACCGGUGGCGAAGGCGGUUCUCUGGGCAUGUUCUGACGCUGAGGAGCGAAAGUGUGGGGAGCGAACAGGAUUAGAGACCCGCGUAGUCCCUGUCUCUUAUAC